CCUACGGGAGGCAGCAGUGGGGAAUCUUGCGCAAUGGGCGAAAGCCUGACGCAGCCAUGCCGCGUGGAUGAUGAAGGUCUUAGGAUUGUAAAAUCCUUUCACCGGUGAAGAUAAUGGCUGUAGCCGGAGAAGAAGCCCCGGCUAACUUCGUGCCAGCAGCCGCGGUAAUACGAAGGGGGCUAGCGUUGCUCGGAAUUACUGGGCGUAAAGGGAGCGUAGGCGGACAUUUAAGUCAGAGGUGAAAUCCCGGAGCUUAACUUCGGAACUGCCUUUGAUACUGGGUGUCUUGAGUGUGAGAGAGGUAUGUGGAACUCCGAGUGUAGAGGUGAAAUUCGUAGAUAUUCGGAAGAACACCAGUGGCGAAGGCGACAUACUGGCUCAUUACUGACGCUGAGGCUCGAAAGCGUGGGGAGCAAACAGGAUUAGAUACCCUGGUAGUCCACGCCGUAAACGAUGAUUGNUAGUGUCGGUAGCUGUCUCUCGUGCGCNGCUACGCAUAGACANCCGCCGUCGGGAGGUACGGUCGCGAGAAGUUAAACGUUAAAGUAAAGUUAGUUAGGUCGUUGAGACGUUGCCGACGGACGACGACGAGGGAGGAGG
rnacentral:rRNA from 1 species